rnacentral:rRNA from 1 species
GAAUAUUGGACAAUGGGGGCAACCCUGAUCCAGCAAUGCCGCGUGUGUGAAGAAGGCCUGAGGGUUGUAAAGCACUUUCAGUGGGGAGGAGGAUUGACAGGUUAAGAGCUAGUUAAUUGGACGUUACCCACAGAAGAAGCACCGGCUAACUCCGUGCCAGCAGCCGCGGUAAUACGGAGGGUGCAAGCGUUAAUCGGAAUUACUGGGCGUAAAGGGUGUGUAGGUGGUUAAUUAAGUUAUCUGUGAAAUCCCUGGGCUUAACCUGGGCAGGUCAGAUAAUACUGAUUAACUCGAGUAUGGGAGAGGGUAGUGGAAUUUCCGGUGUAGCGGUGAAAUGCGUAGAGAUCGGAAGGAACACCAGUGGCGAAGGCGACUACCUGGCCCAAUACUGACACUGAGACACGAAAGCGUGGGGAGCAAAC